rnacentral:misc_RNA from 1 species
AGUUCAAAGUAUUCAUACAUACAUCACAUAUGUAUUCCAAUGUAAGAUUGGUUUUGUUAAUGUUUUUGUGCUAAAGUAUGUUUAGAACACAAGUGUAAAACCACCACCACAAACAAUAAUUUCAAAUCAAAUUUCAAACACGUCUCUAUAGAUUCUUAUCCAGGGAGUGUUUAGUACUGUACCAUGCGUUCCGAGAGCGAUAUUGUACAAAAUUGCAUUGAAACGUGGGAACAGAGUAGCAAACUUGAUCAAAGACCACAGAAUGCAUUGAGACUGUUUCGUUUUCCUCUAUGACUAAAUGGGUCGUCUCGGAAACACUUGUCGGGGUCUCCCCCGAAGAUCCGGAGGUUACAGGAGUGGGGGGACCAAUUUCAGCCGGACUGUCCCCCCCAGACGUUGAUGAAGAGGGAGAUUUAACCUUACCCUGCAACCAGCCCAAGCACCGUGCCUUGUUAAGUACUUGGAGUCCGCAUAUGCUGAGUCCAAUAUGUCAUCAACCACCACACCAUGGUCGGACUUCUCCGCAGCCAAAUAUAUACGUUACAUUCAAGCACUAAACGCCAAAGCCAAUUCAAAGACUUGCAAAUACUUAAUUGCCAAUAGCUUUCUUCGCUAUUGCACAACUGAAUAAUUCUUUUUAAGUAAGUACGAUAGAACUUCCAUAGUGCACAAUGUUCCCAACUAAAGUGAAUGAGUAAAUAGGUAUCCGUUUAUCUGAUUACUUGAAGAACUUGAAAAGAAACAUAGCGUUUUUACUGCCUUUAUCUUCUACAUUCUCAGAUAUAAAUUAUCUUUUACUAGGAAUUACAAUUCUUAUAAUUUGAUUUCGUUUAUAUUUAGGAUUUUUCAAUUUUUCUAAAUUUAAUAUCAAUAGAUGAGAAGUAAGUCAAUUUGAAUAUAACUUUCUCGGUUAAAAGUUGCUAAUUACUAAUGUAAAACAUGCAUACCGUCACCAAAUUAAUUUAAACGGUUACUUGUUUAUUACUCACAUUACUUAUUUAGAAAUAUUUUUACAUAAACAUGUAUAAAGCGGAGGAACGAGAACGGCAUCCAAGGAAUUGAUAAUCUAUUUUAUUAUACAAAGUGUGUAGUCUACGUUCAAUUUUAUAAUUCUGUAAUAAUAGAACUUUAUCAUAUCAGCAUGCACUUACCACCAAGUACAGCUGAAAGAUAAGAAAGAAAAACGUAUUACAAUAGUUUAGCUGGCAAUAAAGAUUAUCUGCAUUAACCAUGAUAGGCGUCAAAAUUAUAUCACAUUUGCAACUACACACAAAGAUUCAUUGCUCCAGAAGCUAAUGAU